rnacentral:ribozyme from 1 species
UGCCCAGCAACUCCUAUCCCUAGCUCCUCGUGAUACUGGCCGGGGUACGAGUAACCUUGGGUGAAGAUCGGGUAACCCCGGUGGGAACUUUUGUUGUAUGCUAACAGGGAAGC